UACGGGGGGUGCAAGCGUUGUUCGGAUUUACUGGGCGUAAAGGGCGCGUAGGCGGUCGUGACAAGUCACUUGUGAAAUCUCCGGGCUUAACUCGGAACGGUCAAGUGAUACUGUCGGACUAGAGUACAGAAGGGGCAACUGGAAUUCUCGGUGUAGCGGUGAAAUGCGUAGAUAUCGAGAGGAACACCUGCGGCGAAGGCGGGUUGCUGGGCUGACACUGACGCUGAUGCGCGAAAGCCAGGGGAGCGAACGGG
rnacentral:rRNA from 1 species